rnacentral:rRNA from 1 species
CAGUCGCCGCGGUAAUACGGAGGGGGCUAGCGUUGUUCGGAUUUACUGGGCGUAAAGCGCACGUAGGCGGAUCGAUCAGUCAGGGGUGAAAUCCCAGAGCUCAACUCUGGAACUGCCUUUGAUACUGUCGAUCUGGAGUAUGGAAGAGGUGAGUGGAAUUCCGAGUGUAGAGGUGAAAUUCGUAGAUAUUCGGAGGAACACCAGCGGCGAAGGCGGCUCACUGGUCCAUUACUGACGCUGAGGUGCGAAAGCGUGGGGAGCAAACAGGAUUAGAUACCCCAGUAGUCCCUGUCUCUUAUAC